rnacentral:rRNA from 1 species
AUUGAACGCUGGCGGCAGGCCUAACACAUGCAAGUCGAGCGGAUGAAGGGAGCUUGCUCCUGGAUUCAGCGGCGGACGGGUGAGUAAUGCCUAGGAAUCUGCCUGGUAGUGGGGGAUAACGUCCGGAAACGGGCGCUAAUACCGCAUACGUCCUGAGGGAGAAAGUGGGGGAUCUUCGGACCUCACGCUAUCAGAUGAGCCUAGGUCGGAUUAGCUAGUUGGUGGGGUAAAGGCCUACCAAGGCGACGAUCCGUAACUGGUCUGAGAGGAUGAUCAGUCACACUGGUACUGAGACACGGUCCAGACUCCUACGGGAGGCAGCAGUGGGGAAUAUUGGACAAUGGGCGAAAGCCUGAUCCAGCCAUGCCGCGUGUGUGAAGAAGGUCUUCGGAUUGUAAAGCACUUUAAGUUGGGAGGAAGGGCAGUAAGUUAAUACCUUGCUGUUUUGACGUUACCAACAGAAUAAGCACCGGCUAACUUCGUG